GUGGGGAAUUUUGGACAAUGGGCGAAAGCCUGAUCCAGCCAUGCCGCGUGCAGGAUGAAGGCCUUCGGGUUGUAAACUGCUUUUGUACGGAACGAAAAGACUCCUUCUAAUAAAGGGGGUCCAUGACGGUACCGUAAGAAUAAGCACCGGCUAACUACGUGCCAGCAGCCGCGGUAAUACGUAGGGUGCGAGCGUUAAUCGGAAUUACUGGGCGUAAAGCGUGCGCAGGCGGUUAUGUAAGACAGAUGUGAAAUCCCCGGGCUCAACCUGGGAACUGCAUUUGUGACUGCAUGACUGGAGUGCGGCAGAGGGGGAUGGAAUUCCGCGUGUAGCAGUGAAAUGCGUAGAUAUGCGGAGGAACACCGAUGGCGAAGGCAAUCCCCUGGACCUGUACUGACGCUCAUGCACGAAAGCGUGGGGAGCAAACAGGAUUAGAAACCCGUGUAGUCC
rnacentral:rRNA from 1 species